CAGCAGCCGCGGGAAUACGAAGGGGGCUAGCGUUGCUCGGAAUUACUGGGCGUAAAGGGAGCGUAGGCGGACAUUUAAGUCAGGGGUGAAAUCCCGGGGCUCGACCUCGGAAUUGCCUUUGAUACUGGGUGUCUUGAGUAUGAGAGAGGUAUGUGGAACUCCGAGUGUAGAGGUGAAAUUCGUAGAUAUUCGGAAGAACACCAGUGGCGAAGGCGACAUACUGGCUCAUUACUGACGCUGAGGCUCGAAAGCGUGGGGAGCAAACAGGAUUAGAUACCCCAGUAGUCCCUGUCUCUUAUCC
rnacentral:rRNA from 1 species